UGGUUUUGGCAAUGUACUUUAUUAUUUUCUUUUGUAAAGUCGAGUUUUAGCUAAAACCCUUGCAGUGGAAUCAUUCAUUAAAUGAUGUGUCUUGUCUGUACUACGGACUGAGCUGCAAAUUUCUACAACUGUAAAGAUACAUUAUUACUACAAGUUGAUAAUAUCAUCCAUUGCUGAAGAGCACUCAGAUCUGUGAAAAAAAGCUCGAAUAUAGGUGGUGCACGAUUAUCAGUGGCUCACUCUACAGGGCGUGCUCAAUUGAGGCCACACACACCACAUGAAAUUAAUUCUCUUAUUUCAUUAUUUCAUAUGAUCAUAUCAUCUCACUGGUAGGUAAGGAUGGGACUGGAUUCUUGAAACUAGCUCCUAAUUAGGUGACAGAACUUAGUAAAGAACUGUGUACUGGUACUUUGUCUCUCAAGACAGCCCCUCCCCUUUUUGACAUUUGGACUACACUUUACUGACUAUAUACCCUCAAAUUAUAAAAUGAUGUGUUCUUGAUGAUGAUUGUAAUACCAUCAUGUCCGUCUCAUGGUCUGUGAAAAGGAUACAUGUACAUCUGCUUCAUUGUAGUUAACUUAUUAAUUUGCUAACUUGAUUCAUACACUUUACUAAUCCAUGAAAACUGUACCUAAGCAGUGGCACACACAAUUAUAAGGAAAAGUGAUAGAAAAACAGGAAACAUUUCCUGUAUUUUAGAAUGUACAUAUAGAAUUUUU